rnacentral:rRNA from 1 species
CCUACGGGGGGCAGCAGUGAGGAAUAUUGGUCCAUGGACGAGAGUCUGAACCAGCCAAGUAGCGUGCAGGAUGACUGCCCUAUGGGUUGUAAACUUCUUUUAUAUGGGAAUAAAAUGUUCCACGUGUGGGAUUUUGUAUGUACCAUAUGACUAAGGAUCGGCUAACUCCGUUCCAGCCGCCGCGGUAAUACGGAGGAUCCGAGCGUUAUCCGGAUUUAUUGGGUUUAAAGGGAGCGUAGGUGGAUUGUUAAGUCAGUUGUGAAAGUUUGCGGCUCAACCGUAAAAUUGCAGUUGAAACUGGCAGUCUUGAGUACAGUAGAGGUGGGCGGAAUUCGUGGUGUAGCGGUGAAAGGCUUAGAUAUCACGAAGAACUCCGAUUGCGAAGGCAGCUCACUGGACUGCAACUGACACUGAGGCUCGAAAGUGUGGGUAGCAAACAGGAUUAGAGACCCGAGUAGUC